AGCUUUGCGCAGUGGCAGUAUCGUAGCCAAUGAGGUUUAUCCGAGGCGCGAUUAUUGCUAAUUGAAAGUACAAGCAGGGAUCCC
rnacentral:snRNA from 1 species